UGGGAGUUGGGCACUUGCCCUUUCUCUGCAUGUUUUUGUUCUCUUGUGUAGUGAUCGAAGAAUAUAUCUCACCAAAUCGACCCAUUUGUCUUAUUGUAUAUAAAUGUCUAAUCAAGAACUUAUCAAUGCUGGGAUGAAGCAAAUGGAUGAAACUGAUCAGGCUAUUGAAAGAUCUAAACAGGUUGUUCAUCAAACAAUCGAAGUAGGCACCCAAACUGCUACUACCUUGAAGGGCCAAACUGAACAAAUGGGUCAGAUUGUUAAUGAGCUUGAUUCAAUUCAAUUUUCAAUUAAGAAGGCCUUGCAGCUUGUGAAGGAGAUUGAC